rnacentral:tRNA from 1 species
GCGGAAGCUGCGGGUUCGAGCCCGUCAGUCCCG